rnacentral:rRNA from 8 species
GAGUAAUGUCUGGGAAACUGCCUGAUGGAGGGGGAUAACUACUGGAAACGGUGGCUAAUACCGCAUAACGUCGCAAGACCAAAGAGGGGGACCUUCGGGCCUCUUGCCAUCAGAUGUGCCCAGAUGGGAUUAGCUUGUUGGUGAGGUAACGGCUCACCAAGGCGACGAUCCCUAGCUGGUCUGAGAGGAUGACCAGCCACACUGGAACUGAGACACGGUCCAGACUCCUACGGGAGGCAGCAGUGGGGAAUAUUGCACAAUGGGCGCAAGCCUGAUGCAGCCAUGCCGCGUGUAUGAAGAAGGCCUUCGGGUUGUAAAGUACUUUCAGCGGGGAGGAAGGUGUUGUGGUUAAUAACCGCAGCAAUUGACGUUACCCGCAGAAGAAGCACCGGCUAACUCCGUGCCAGCAGCCGCGGUAAUACGGAGGGUGCAAGCGUUAAUCGGAAUUACUGGGCGUAAAGCGCACGCAGGCGGUCUGUCAAGUCGGAUGUGAAAUCCCCGGGCUCAACCUGGGAACUGCAUUCGAAACUGGCAGGCUUGAGUC